UACAGAGGGGGCAAGCGUUGUUCGGAAUUACUGGGCGUAAAGGGCGCGUAGGCGGCCUUCUAAGUCGAACGUGAAAUCCCUGGGCUUAACCCAGGAACUGCGUCCGAGACUGGAAGGCUUGAAUCCGGGAGAGGGAUGCGGAAUUCCAGGUGUAGCGGUGAAAUGCGUAGAUAUCUGGAGGAACACCGGUGGCGAAGGCGGCAUCCUGGACCGGUAUUGACGCUGAGGCGCGAAAGCCAGGGGAGCGAACAGG
rnacentral:rRNA from 1 species